UACGUAGGGGGCGAGCGUUAUCCGGAUUCACUGGGUGUAAAGGGAGCGUAGACGGCCGUGCAAGCCAGGAGUGAAAGCCCGGGGCCCAACCCCGGGACUGCUCUUGGAACUGUGCGGCUGGAGUGCGGGAGGGGCAGGCGGAAUUCCUGGUGUAGCGGUGAAAUGCAUAGAGAUCACACAGAACACCGAUUGCGAAGGCAGCGUACCGGCGCCAGACUGACGCUGAGGCACGAAAGCGUGGGGAUCGAACAGG
rnacentral:rRNA from 1 species